UACGGAGGGGGCUAGCGUUGUUCGGAAUUACUGGGCGUAAAGCGCACGUAGGCGGCUUUGUAAGUUAGAGGUGAAAGCCCGGGGCUCAACUCCGGAAUUGCCUUUAAGACUGCAUCGCUAGAAUCAUGGAGAGGUUAGUGGAAUUCCGAGUGUAGAGGUGAAAUUCGUAGAUAUUCGGAAGAACACCAGUGGCGAAGGCGACUAACUGGACAUGUAUUGACGCUGAGGUGCGAAAGCGUGGGGAGCAAACAGG
rnacentral:rRNA from 1 species